rnacentral:rRNA from 1 species
GACGAACGCUGGCGGCGUGCUUAACACAUGCAAGUCGAACGAAGAGCGAUGGAAGCUUGCUUCUAUCAAUCUUAGUGGCGAACGGGUGAGUAACGCGUAAUCAACCUGCCCUUCAGAGGGGGACAACAGUUGGAAACGACUGCUAAUACCGCAUACGAUCUAACCUCGGCAUCGAGGAUAGAUGAAAGGUGGCCUCUACAUGUAAGCUAUCACUGAAGGAGGGGAUUGCGUCUGAUUAGCUAGUUGGAGGGGUAACGGCCCACCAAGGCGAUGAUCAGUAGCCGGUCUGAGAGGAUGAACGGCCACAUUGGGACUGAGACACGGCCCAAACUCCUACGGGAGGCAGCAGUGGGGAAUCUUCCGCAAUGGACGAAAGUCUGACGGAGCAACGCCGCGUGAGUGAUGACGGCCUUCGGGUUGUAAAGCUCUGUUAAUCGGGACGAAAGGCCUUCUUGCGAAUAGUUAGAAGGAUUGACGGUACCGGAAUAGAAAGCCACGGCUAACUACGUG